rnacentral:lncRNA from 1 species
CAGACCUCACUUUGGAAACCUUAUAACGAAGAAGCUUUCCAAUGGGGGAAAAACAACAAGGACACUUACACCGGCAAUGGAAAUAGAAUGAACAACAGAGAGACCUUCCAGGUUUGACAUGUAAAGGGAAAUAACUUUGUAGUUAUUGUCCCUACUUGGAGACAUCAAAAACAGGUGUAGAGUGUAAGGCGGUGCAGGCUGAGAACGAAGUGGAAAGUAACACAAAGUCAAAGAGAAGAGUUGAAGGAAUUUGGAACAAGGGAUAAUGGACUUGGCUGAAAAGAUGGAGAAUGAAAGACACUGCGCAAAGGUGAAGUCCAUUGUUGUACAAUCAAAUUAACUAUUAAAUGUCAGCUGCAAAGGUGAGCCAUAAUAUUAAAAGGACCUUCCAGUAAGUUUUACGCCAUUUUGACAGCUUUACAGCCACUGAAAAUGUCCAUAGAGCCUCACAGUUUGCUAAUGAAUGGCUUCUCCAUAAGAAUGGAACAGGUCAGAAACUUUGAAAGAGAAGCUGGAAAUACCAAUUAAAGAAAUGGAUGCUUCUGCAAAAUCAAAACAACUUUGAAGAACACUCACUUAUAUUUUUGGAGGAUUCACAAAGAACUGAACUAAAUAUAAGCCUUAGAAGUCUGCUCCAAUUCUUUUCCAUAUCCAGGUUUUCAUUAAUUUCAUUCUAAAGCUGGUU